rnacentral:rRNA from 1 species
GAUGAACGCUGGCGGCGUGCCUAAUACAUGCAAGUCGAGCGAACAGACGAGGAGCUUGCUCCUCUGACGUUAGCGGCGGACGGGUGAGUAACACGUGGAUAACCUACCUAUAAGACUGGGAUAACUUCGGGAAACCGGAGCUAAUACCGGAUAAUAUAUUGAACCGCAUGGUUCAAUAGUGAAAGACGGUUUUGCUGUCACUUAUAGAUGGAUCCGCGCCGCAUUAGCUAGUUGGUAAGGUAACGGCUUACCAAGGCAACGAUGCGUAGCCGACCUGAGAGGGUGAUCGGCCACACUGGAACUGAGACACGGUCCAGACUCCUACGGGAGGCAGCAGUAGGGAAUCUUCCGCAAAGGGCGAAAGCUUGACGGAGCAACGCCGCGUGAGUGAUGAAGGUCUUCGGAUCGUAAAACUCUGUUAUUAGGGUAGAACAAAUGUGUAAGUAACUAUGCACGUCUUGACGGUACCUAAUCAGAAAGCCACGGCUAACUACGUG